rnacentral:rRNA from 1 species
GUCCACGCCGUAAACGAUGGAUACUAGCUGUUGGGAGCAAUUUCAGUGGCUAAGCGAAAGUGAUAAGUAUCCCACCUGGGGAGUACGUUCGCAAGAAUGAAAACUCAAAAGGAAUUGACGGGGGCCCGCACAAGCGGUGGAGCAUGUGGUUUAAUUCGAUGAUACGCGAGGAACCUUACCAAGGCUUAAAUGUAGUUUGACCGGUUUGGAAACAGACUUUUCGCAAGACAAAAUUACAAGGUGCUGCAUGGUUGUCGU